AGUGAACGCUGGCGGUAGGCCUAACACAUGCAAGUCGAACGGCAGCACAGUAAGAGCUUGCUCUUACGGGUGGCGAGUGGCGGACGGGUGAGGAAUACAUCGGAAUCUACUUUUUCGUGGGGGAUAACGUAGGGAAACUUACGCUAAUACCGCAUACGACCUACGGGUGAAAGCAGGGGAUCUUCGGACCUUGCGCGAUUGAAUGAGCCGAUGUCGGAUUAGCUAGUUGGCGGGGUAAAGGCCCACCAAGGCGACGAUCCGUAGCUGGUCUGAGAGGAUGAUUAGCCACACUGGAACUGAGACACGGUCCAGACUCCUACGGGAGGCCGCAGUGGGGAAUAUUGGACAAUGGGGGCAAGCCUGAUCCAGCCAUACCGCGUGGGUGAAGAAGGCCUUCGGGUUGUAAAGCCAUUUUGUUGGGAAAGAAAAGCAGCAGGUUAAUACCCCGCUGUUCUGACGGUACCCAAAGAAUAAGCACCGGCUAACUUCGUG
rnacentral:rRNA from 1 species